rnacentral:rRNA from 1 species
UACAGAGGGGGCGAGCGUUGUUCGGAAUUACUGGGCGUAAAGGGCGCGUAGGCGGCCCGCUAAGUCGAACGUGAAAUCCCCAGGCUCAACCUGGGAACUGCGUCCGAUACUGGCAGGCUUGAAUCCGGGAGAGGGAUGUGGAAUUCCAGGUGUAGCGGUGAAAUGCGUAGAUAUACGGAGGAACACCUGCGGCGAAGGCGGGUAGCUGGGCCAACACUGACGCUGAGACGCGAAAGCUAGGGGAGCAAACGGG